rnacentral:tRNA from 2 species
GAUUAUUUAGUUUAUUAAUUUAUAAAACAAGUGUUUUGAAAACAUUAGAAAAGAAAAAUUCUUAAUAAUUA